UACGGAAGGUCCGGGCGUUAUCCGGAUUUAUUGGGUUUAAAGGGAGCGUAGGCCGGUCUUUAAGCGUGCCGUGAAAUUUUGUGGCUCAACCAUGAGAGUGCGGCGCGAACUGGAGACCUUGAGUGCGCGGAAGGCAGGCGGAAUUCGUGGUGUAGCGGUGAAAUGCAUAGAUAUCACGCAGAACCCCGAUUGCGAAGGCAGCAUACCGGUGCACAACUGACGCUCAGGCACGAAAGUGUGGGUAUCAAACAGG
rnacentral:rRNA from 1 species